AGACCACAACAGAUCCACUCUGAGCCUCUUUAAAACACCCACAAUCAGUCAGAACAGAGUGACACAUGAACCAAUCUGCAUGUGGUCUGCAGAUCAGACACACAGACACUGAGUGUGGUCCAUCAACAGCUCUUCCUAAUCAACCCCAGAGACCCCGGCCUUUUAGCCGCCAGCCCUCAACAUGUCUCGCUGUGUUUACACACGCUGAUUAGUUUGGGCGCUGGACAGCAGGGCCCAUCCAGGAGACAAACUCAACUGGUUGUAUAAGAGCCAGAAGCCAAGACAGAGGGACAGAGGAGAGCCAGCAGCAUCACACUGAGACAGUGUCCAUCAUAAAGUAAAUGGAAACAAAAUAGUUUCUUAGUUUUGGCCAUCCAUCCACACUUGGCCAACAAGCCGGCACGCAAAAGAGUCUUAUCUUAUUAUCAUGUGAUCCAGUUUCAGCUGAUGACGCAAUUGUCAUUAAAGGAUAAUUCUGGUUUAUUACAACUUAGAUCUUAUUUUGGUGGUUAUGGCCAUUAUUCCUAUGACAUUGUACUUAAAUAAGUCCAACAUAGCAAGAACCACAAUCCCUUAGAUCAGUAGUACCCAACCUUUUUCCAUACCUGACCCCUUUUCUACCACUGAAUAAAUUACGACCCCUGACUAAGACCUAAAUAAUGAACACAAUAAGUGCAGAAAGUUUGAGUAAAAUAAGAGAUUUGGAUGAAUUUUUGAGAGGAUUAUUACCUUUGAAUAUUGCAUAACAACAUUUUGUACAAUUCUUUGUCUGUGUUAUGCAUUUUUAACAAUCACACAUACUUCAUAGACAUAUUUGACAAAUUUGACUAAUUCAGUGUUUUCUUCUUCCUGAUGUUUGGCCAUUGUUCUGUUAGUUGUUUGGUUGUUUUAACUGUCCUGUGUACUUUUCUAAAGCAGGACGAGACUGUUUAGCAGAGAGUGAAGGCUCUGUGUAUAUAGCUUUUGUUCAGGUCUGCAAAUUAGAUCUUAAAUAAUGAACAUUAAAAACUACGAUUUUAUUUAGUUUUCAUCACAGAAAUGAAUGAAAUGCUGAAAUAUAGGCCUACUGUGUAUAUUUACAUCUAAAGUUUUUUGUACACCCCUUAAACUCAAGAAGGCCUCGCAAUGCACCCUGUGGAGCUGACAUAGAGGACUGCACCUGUUGUAACAAGACAACAGUUUAGUCAAUUUGUCCAAACCACUCUAUGUGGAGCUUAGCUGAAUGUGAGCACACCUGUGAGCACAUUAUAGUAAGUACAGUGGAACCAGAAACCAGGAAGUCUGUCAACUGUUAUUGAAGGAAAGUUUGGGUAACCAUUUUACUGUUUGCUUUUAUUUUAUUUUCCAAAAGAGUUUGGUUAACCUGAAGGUAUGUUUAAAACCUGUAUGAUGUCUCACUUCACAUAUUUCUAACCAGAUCCAACCUCUUUUUAACAAAGUUGCCACAUUCACAGAUCUCAGCGAUUAACAUGGUGAGGAUGAUUGUAUUAUUACUGAUAUGAAUGAUGACAAAAACUGAAAAUAAGAUCCAGGGUGUAAUAAAAAAUAAUUAUCCUUAAA